UACGUAGGGUGCAAGCGUUGUCCGGAUUAUUGGGCGUAAGAGCGUGUAGGCGGCCAGAUAGGUCCGUUGUGAAAACUCGAGGCUCAACCUCGAGACGCCGAUGGAAACCAUUUGGCUAGAGUCCGGAAGAGGAGAGUGGAAUUCCUGGUGUAGCGGUGAAAUGCGCAGAUAUCAGGAAGAACACCCGUGGCUAAGGCGGCUCUCUAGUACGGUACUGACGCUGAGACGCGAAAGCGUGGGGAGCGAACAGG
rnacentral:rRNA from 1 species